GACGAACGCUGGCGGCGUGCCUAACACAUGCAAGUCGAGCGGAGAUGUACUGAAGAUUUAUCGGAUGUACAUCUUAGCGGCGGACGGGUGAGUAACGCGUGGGCAACCUGCCUUUCACUGGGGGAGUAACACAGGGAAACCUGUGCUAAUACCGCAUGACAUCACGUAGGGCAUCCUAUGUGAUCAAAGGAGAGAUCCGGUGGAAGAUGGGCCCGCGUCCAAUUAGCUGGUUGGUGAGGUAAAGGCUCACCAAGGCGACGAUUGGUAGCCGAACUGAGAGGUUGAUCGGCCACAUUGGGACUGAGACACGGCCCAGACUCCUACGGGAGGCAGCAGUGGGGAAUAUUGCGCAAUGGGGGGAACCCUGACGCAGCAACGCCGCGUGAAGGAAGAAGGUCUUCGGAUUGUAAACUUCUUUGAUGAGGGACGAAUAAAGUGACGGUACCUCAAAAACAAGCCACGGCUAACUACGUG
rnacentral:rRNA from 1 species